GGUCCCAGCAGGAUUCUCUGAGAGACCCGGAGUUCGGCCUGAGAGGAGCGAGUCAGGUUUUGAGGACGCUGCGCAGACGCCACUCACGGGUCGGACGUGACGUAAGAAGGGUUCGGCUUCGGCCUCCGCCGCUACCUCCGGUAUUUUAGCUACCGCCGCUGUGGCUCGUUCUCCCUAAAAUGGCGCCGCUAGAUCUGGACAAGUAUGUGGAGAUAGCGCGGCAGUGCAAGUACCUUCCCGAGAACGACCUGAAGGUCAGAAGUUAACCUCUCUGAAUGAAGAUAAUGCCUACUACAAAGGUGGUUUAAAAAUGCAAGGAAAUGGAGUGUCAGCUGGGCAGUGGUGAUGCACACCUUUAAUCCCAAUACUUAGGAAGCAGAGGCAGGCGGGUCUCUGAGUUCGAGGCCAGCCUGGUCCACAGACUUCAGUGUGAUGGAAAUGAUGGCAACCCUUUUUAGGGUUUAAAGGAAAACACCAGCACAGGCAGCCCUUUUAAGAUCCACAAUGUGGUGAGUAGAGGGAUGGCUCAAAGGUCUGUUCUUCUGGAGGUCAUGAGUUCAGUUCCCAGCAACCACUUUGUGGCUUACAACCAUCCAUGUAUUCCGGUGCAUUGCAGGCAUACAUGCAGGUAGAACUCUCUAUGUAUAAUAAAAAGGUAAAUCUUAAAAAAAAAAAAAUCUGCAGUGUGAAGAAAAUAAGCUGCAGAACACUUGGGCUCCAGAAAGGCCAGGGCAGAGAGAAACAAGGAUCUCAAAGGUCAGACUUGGUCAACAGCUUCUAAAUUUCUUCAGGUUGUACACCUAGCAACCACAUUAGUUCAGGACAUGCAGUGAAUAUUCAGUAUUUUCAGUUUUUUUUUUUUUUAAGACAGGGUUUCUCAGUAGCAAUGGAGCCAGUCCUGGAACUCACUCUGUAGACCAGGCUGGCAUCAAAUUCACAGAGAUCCACCUGUCUCAGCCUACUGAGUGCUGGGAUUAAAGGCAUGUGCCACUACUGCCCAGCUUCAGUAUUUGUUUUUAAAUGUCUACUAAACUCAAAAGGACAUUGGUAACUGGCCCUUCCUUCAAGAAACUGUGAGAGACAAGUUGUUUUUUUCAAGAGGUUAACUCUUGCUAGAGCAACACUGGAGAUGAUGACUACUCAUCAGAGAGAGGACUUCCGAAAAUGAAAUAUUGGAGAUGGGACAAGAAGAAUGCAUAUAGCGUAUUAAGAAAAUAAGCAACACUCCAGGCAAAGGGGAUUAACAGCCACAGCAGUGUCAAGAAAUAGAAGAACAUUUUUAGAGCAGGACCUCCAAAACUGGUAAGGAAUGAAAUUGCUAGAAGCUGUGGUAUCCAUAUGCUGUGUAGUAUCACUCUGUUUAAUGGAUGAGAUCCAUAUUAAACCAUAGACUUCUUAUUUGUUUGUUUUUUGAGACAGUGUUUCACUGUGUAGCCCUGACUGGCCCAAAGCACAGAGAUCUGCCUGCCUCUUAAAGGUGUGUGCCAUCACACCUAGCUAUGGACCAUUGACUUCUAAAACAAAUAAAUGAGAGUAGAUUAAUUUUUCUUUAAAUAUAUAAUAUUGAAGAGAGUUGUUUAGUAGCAGAAGAGCUAGGUCUAAAGAAAUAGUAGUAUCAGGUACAACAUAAGGCUAUCAAAGUAAAUAAGAUAAGUCGAAUCCCUGACCUAUGGAGCUUAGAGUAGGAGGUAAGGUAGUCACUAUGACUACGUGUGUAAUAGGACAUUCCAGAGUAGAGAUUUCUUUCAUGUUAGUCCCAGGAUGUUGCUUGUUUUACUCACUUAGCAGCCAAGUACUAACUGGAUGUACUCUGUGUAGAUAUAAUCCAUGAACUACUGCCCAAGGGUGUUUCAGCUUUGAAUAAAUAAACAAAGUGGUCUGAAUAUUUGGGUGUGCAGGAUGGAAAUCUACUAAGAGCAAAUGUGAGCGACUGUGCAGGAAGAGAAAUAAUCUGGGAGAGAAGGACAACUAUUCUUAGUACACGGGGUCAUAAAAGAGAGUUUUGAAGGCUUAGAAAAAGCAAAAUGUAGAAAUCAUUCCAAAUGUAGGGAAAUAGCUGCAGUAAUAAAGAGAAAACCACAGAUUAAAGCAAGCAAGAAAAAAUAAAAUACAAAGUAUUUGACUCUUGAUCUUAAUAGGCAUGGCUAAAGUAAUUGUAAA